ACAGCAUCUUCACAGCCAUUAGAAUUUAGUUUUAUAACUUUUAUAGUUGUAAGCUGUCAACAUUGAGAAAGAAGUUUUUCAAGAGGGGAAUGGCCCCAUGACAGCGACUAGGCAAAAACUCGCUUUCGUUUCUUUAUCCUUUGAAUUUUGUUUUCUUGAUGAAGUUCUGAAGCAGGAAAAAAUCCCUUUCACCAUCCGUUGGGGCAUAGAGAAUCAUAGAGAUUUUGAAGAUAAUAUUAAGCCAGGUCCAGCCUUUACCUUUUUCCACAUGGCUUGAAAAUGAAGGUGAUAUUGGUGCCCUUUUGAGGUCCCAAAGUGGAGAACUACUCUGCAAGCCGUAGGAUACAGCUCAUUUAUGGCCAGUCCCCACUACUCCACAACAACGGAAAAAUGGGACAACUGAGAGGAAUCAAUGAGAAAUUGCCUUUCGUUUUCUAAUUAUGAGGUCUGAUAAAUGGGAUGUCUCGUUCUCCUCUCCCAACAGGAACACCAUGUUUUACUGGUUCAUUGUUCUCUUCCUAUCAUUUCAUUAAAAAAAAGAAUUGAAGAUUGCUUUCAGGUUUAAUUCAUACACCACCACUUGUUCAA